GACGAACGCUGGCGGCGUGCUUCACACAUGCAAGUCGAACGAAGUGGCGAACGGGUGAGUAACGCGUAAUCAACCUGCCCUUCAGAGGGGGACAACAGUUGGAACCGACUGCUAAUACCGCAUACUGAGGGAGGGGAUUGCGUAUGAUUAGCUCGUGUGAGGGGUAACGGCACACCAAGGCGAUGAUCAGUAGCCGGUCUGAGAGGAGGAACGGCCACAUUGGGACUUAGACACGGCCCAGAAUCCUACGGGAGGCAGCAGUGGGGAAUCUUCCGCAAUGGACGAAAGUCUGACGGAGCAACGCCGCGUGAGUGAUGACGGCCUUCGGGUUGUAAAGCUCUGUUAAUCGGGACGCGGUACCGGAAUAGAAAGCCACGGCUAACUACGUGCCAGCCGCCGCGGUAAUUC
rnacentral:rRNA from 1 species